rnacentral:rRNA from 1 species
GAUGAACGCUAGCGAUAGGCUUAACACAUGCAAGUCGAGGGGCAGCACAAGGUAGCUUGCUAUCUGGGUGGCGACCGGCGCACGGGUGCGUAACGCGUAUGCAACUUGCCCUAUACAGGAGGAUAACCCGUCGAAAGACGGACUAAUACUGCGUAUGCUCACAACUUGGCAUCAAGUGGUGAGGAAAGAAAUUCGGUAUAGGAUAGGCAUGCGUCCCAUUAGCUUGUUGGUGAGGUAACGGCUCACCAAGGCAACGAUGGGUAGGGGAACUGAGAGGUUUAUCCCCCACACUGGUACUGAGACACGGACCAGACUCCUACGGGAGGCAGCAGUGAGGAAUAUUGGUCAAUGGGCGCGAGCCUGAACCAGCCAAGUCGCGUGAAGGAGGACUGUCUUAUGGAUUGUAAACUUCUUUUAGACGGGAAUAACAAGAGUCACGUGUGACUCCCUGCAUGUACCGGAUGAAUAAGCAUCGGCUAACUCCGUG